AAUACAACCGGGACUACGAGGGGCAGAUUGCUGCCUACAGACAGAACCCGGAGCAGUCGGACGAGGAUGAGGAGAAAAGUCGACGUGACUCCGAGGGUUCGGGUUCCUCCUCGGGGGCCGAGGACGAGUCCGGAACGUUCCUGAAACGCCGCGAUCGGGACGAGCCCCGGGGACGCUACAAAGUGAGAAA